rnacentral:lncRNA from 1 species
CACUUGGCCUAGUGGCUUUCUCCUUGGGGGCACGCGCCUCCAAGGAGGACGAGAGCUGAGCUCCCCAACCUCCGGGCCACUGGGGCUCCUCACAGGAUGUAUGUGGUCCCCAGAAACACAAGCAUCCUUGUCUGUAUGACCUGUGUGGCCCUCUUCAGGCGGCGGCCCCUGGUCUACAUCACUUUCUCAUUCUCCUCAGCGUGCCCGGCCUCCUGCUGUUCAUUCACUCCGUUCUCUCGCUUUCCUAACCGUGCUGGACUCAUCCUCACUGCCCACCGCUGAAGACUCUUCUCCCACCCCGCAGGCGGGAGGCCUCCAGUGGCUGUCUCUAUAUCCUCGGGCCCCAC